GAUGAAGAACGUAGCGAAAUGCGAUAAGUAAUGUGAAUUGCAGAAUUCAGUGAAUCAUCGAAUCUUUGAACGCACAUUGCGCCCAUUAGUAUUCUAGUGGGCAUGCCUGUUCGAGCGUCAUUAAGUCCACUUAAGCCCUGCUUAGUGUUGGGAGACUGCUCCAGCGGUGCUACCCUGUAGCUACCCUGCAGCUCCUCAAAGACAGUGGCGGAGUUGUGGUAUCCUCUGAGCUUAGUAACUUGUUCUAGCUUUCGAGUACACCACUUCCCCUGCCGUAAAACCCUUAAUUUUUAAUGGUUGACCUCGGAUCAGGUAGGAAUACCCGCUGAACUUAAGCAUAUCAAUAAGCGGAGGA
rnacentral:misc_RNA from 1 species